rnacentral:rRNA from 1 species
GUGCACGCUGGCGGUAGGCCUAACACAUGCAAGUCGAACGGCAGCACAGUAAGAGCUUGCUCUUACGGGUGGCGAGUGGCGGACGGGUGAGGAAUACAUCGGAAUCUACUUUUUCGUGGGGGAUAACGUAGGGAAACUUACGCUAAUACCGCAUACGACCUACGGGUGAAAGCAGGGGAUCUUCGGACCUUGCGCAAUUGAAUGAGCCGAUGUCGGAUUAGCUAGUUGGCGGGGUAAAGGCCCACCAAGGCGACGAUCCGUAGCUGGUCUGAGAGGAUGAUCAGCCACACUGGAACUGAGACACGGUCCAGACUCCUACGGGAGGCAGCAGUGGGGAAUAUUGGACAAUGGGCGCAAGCCUGAUCCAGCCAUACCGCGUGGGUGAAGAAGGCCUUCGGGUUGUAAAGCCCUUUUGUUGGGAAAGAAAAGCAGCAGGUUAAUACCCCGCUGUUCUGACGGUACCCAAAGAAUAAGCACCGGCUAACUUCGUG